GCCAGCGGGCUGAGCCGGGGAUGGCCUUGUUAUCAGCGUUGUCUGAGCCUCGCCCGGCUGGAGAAUCCCAUGGUCCACGGCGCUGCAAGCGAUUAUCAGUCAUCAGUCAGUCUCAGAGAGAGAGGAUCCAACCCGGUUGGGCUUGGGUAAGGCUCGGUUUUCUUUUCGGGGUUAAAUUUUGAGACCCACAUUUCUAAGAAAAAUGGUCGACGGGCCUAAUUUUCGUCAAUCUCGCCAACUUAGCAGAUAAAAGAUCAGAGCAAGAGCUACACAAGAAUCAGUGAAACACGGCCGCCAUCUCUGAUGGGCCACCAUUUUCAUGAACUCUACUACCUUGACACCAUGAUGAUGACCAAAAAUGACUUUCUGGCCCUCGUGCAUAGUUUACCAACACCAAGACGAGAUCUAAUCCG
rnacentral:lncRNA from 1 species